rnacentral:piRNA from 1 species
UGCCCAGUUGGUCAAGGUCCUAGCUACUAGUU